rnacentral:miRNA from 11 species
ACUUUAAUAUGAAAGUACUUGUU